rnacentral:rRNA from 1 species
UACGGGAGGCAGCAGUGGGGAAUAUUGGGCAAUGGGCGAAAGCCUGACCCAGCAAUGCCGCGUGAAUGAAGAAGGUCUUAGGAUUGUAAAAUUCUGUCCUUUGGGAAGAAACAAAUGACGGUACCAAAGGAGGAAGCCCCGGCUAACUACGUGCCAGCAGCCGCGGUAAU